rnacentral:rRNA from 1 species
GACGAACGCUGGCGGCGUGCUUAACACAUGCAAGUCGAACGGAAAGGCCCUGCUUUUGUGGGGUGCUCGAGUGGCGAACGGGUGAGUAACACGUGAGUAACCUGCCCUUGACUUUGGGAUAACUUCAGGAAACUGGGGCUAAUACCGGAUAGGAGCUCCUGCUUCAUGGUGGGGGUUGGAAAGUUUCGGCGGUUGGGGAUGGACUCGCGGCUUAUCAGCUUGUCGGUGGGGUAGUGGCUUACCAAGGCUUUGACGGGUAGCCGGCCUGAGAGGGUGACCGGCCAAAUUGGGACUGAGAUACGGCCCAGACUCCUACGGGAGGCAGCAGUGGGGAAUAUUGCACAAUGGGCGGAAGCCUGAUGCAGCAACGCCGCGUGCGGGAUGACGGCCUUCGGGUUGUAAACCGCUUUCGCCUGUGACGAAGCGUGAGUGACGGUAAUGGGUAAAGAAGCACCGGCUAACUACGUG